rnacentral:rRNA from 1 species
GAUGAACGCUGGCGGCGUGCCUAAUACAUGCAAGUCGAGCGAACAGACGAGGAGCUUGCUCCUCUGACGUUAGCGGCGGACGGGUGAGUAACACGUGGAUAACCUACCUAUAAGACUGGGAUAACUUCGGGAAACCGGAGCUAAUACCGGAUAAUAUAUUGAACCGCAUGGUUCAAUAGUGAAAGACGGUUUUGCUGUCACUUAUAGAUGGAUCCGCGCCGCAUUAGCUAGUUGGUAAGGUAACGGCUUGCCAGGCAACGAUGCGUAGCCGACCUGAGAGGGUGAUCGGCCACACUGGAACUGAGACACGGUCCAGACUCCUACGGGAGGCAGCAGUAGGGAAUCUUCCGCAAUGGGCGAAAGCUUGACGGAGCAACGCCGCGUGAGUGAUGAAGGUCUUCGGAUCGUAAAACUCUGUUAUUAGGGAAGAACAAAUGUGUAAGUAACUAUGCACGUCUUGACGGUACCUAAUCAGAAAGCCACGGCUAACUACGUG